rnacentral:rRNA from 1 species
CCUACGGGUGGCAGCAGUGAGGAAUAUUGGUCAAUGGGCGCGAGCCUGAACCAGCCAAGUCGCGUGAGGGAAGACGGCCCUACGGGUUGUAAACCUCUUUUGCCGGGGAGCAACGGGCGCCACGUGUGGCGCCACUGAGAGUACCCGGAGAAAAAGCAUCGGCUAACUCCGUGCCAGCUGCCGCGGUAAUACGGAGGAUGCGAGCGUUAUCCGGUUUUAUUGGGGUUAAAGGGUGCGCAGGCGGAGCGUUAAGUCAGUGGUCAAAUUGAGGGGCUCAACCUCUUCCCGCCAGUGAAACUGGCGCUCUUGAGUGGAAGAGAGGUAUGCGGAAUGCGUGGUGUAGCGGUGAAAGGCAUAGAUAUCACGCAGAACCCCGAUUGCGAAGGCAGCAUGCCGGCUGCCUACUGACGCUGAAGCGCGAAAGCGUGGGGAUCGAACAGGAUUAGAUACCCCAGUAGUC